AAUAGGAAAUUUAAGGGCGUACGGUGGAUGCCUUGACUCCAAGAAGGUGAUGAAGGACGUGGCUUGGCGGCGAUACGCUUCGGGGAGGUGCCUAGCAACCUUUGAUCCGAAGAUGUCCGAAUGGGGAAACCCGUCCAGCUCCACAUUUGGUUUGUAGAAACUUUUAUUAAUCAAAUGUGGGGCUGGACAUCCUAUCAAUUAGAUAGGAAACGCACCCAGUGAAGUAAAACAUUUCAGUAACUGGAGGAAAAUAGAACAAUUGUUAUUUCGUUAGUAGCGGCGAGCGAAAACGAAACAGCCCAAACCUAGUUUCAUUCUCACGACGCGUAUGGUCGUGUUGUGGGAAUGAUGCUGGGGGUUGUAAGGUGGUAGCGUCCCUCCCCAGUUUGCAAAAACUGGAGAGGGAGAGGAGUGAAAAAAUUUCUGGUUAGGUGAAUCCCGUGGAAACGGGAACCCUAGGGGGUAAUAGUCCCGUAACCGAAAAUCAGAAGUCUCUUUUGUUACCGUUCUUGAGUACCUCGAGACAUGAAUAGCUCGGGGGAAUCUGCCGGAACUAACCGGUAAGGCUAAAUACUCUUGGAGAUCGAUAGUGAACUAGUACCGUGAGGGAAAGGUGAAAAG
rnacentral:rRNA from 1 species